rnacentral:misc_RNA from 1 species
UCUGCCAACAAUUAAAUUCCCUGUAAUGAAUUAAUUCUUGGGAUGAUUUUAGAAAGCAGUGUAUGGUGGCCUUGAACAUGUAUCAGCAUAAUCAGGAAGGAAUGUCAGCUCCAUCUCCAAUAUAUAUAGAAUAGGCUUCUGACGAAGCCUGCCUCACACAAUUUUAUUGAAAAUAAUUUCAGAUAAACCCCUCAACUUUUCAUUGCAGUCCAAAUAAGCCCAAUUUGACCAAAUAAACCGAUUGGACCGAAAUGAGAGCAUCCCUGACACGAUAAAUUAGCGCAGACUCACUGAAAUUAACAUCCUCAAUCUCCUGAACCUCCCCGUUGAAG